ACUCAAAGGAAUUGACGGGGGCCCGCACAAGCGGUGGAGCAUGUGGUUUAAUUCGACGCAACGCGAAGAACCUUACCCAGGCUCGAACGGCAGAUGACAAACUAUGAAAAUGGUCUCCCGCAAGGGCAUCUGUCGAGGUGCUGCAUGGCUGUCGUCAGCUCGUGUCGUGAGAUGUUGGGUUAAGUCCCGCAACGAGCGCAACCCUUGUCUUCUGUUGCCAUCAGGUCAAGCUGGGCACUCUGAAGAGACUGCCGGUGACAAACCGGAGGAAGGUGGGGAUGACGUCAAGUCAGCAUGGCCUUUAUGUCUGGGGCCACACACGUGCUACAAUGGCCGGUACAAACCGUUGCGAGCCCGCGAGGGGGAGCUAAUCGGAGAAAGCCGGUCUCAGUUCGGAUUGUAGGCUGCAACUCGCCUGCAUGAAGUUGGAAUCGCUAGUAAUCGCGGAUCAGCACGCCGCGGUGAAUACGUUCCCGGGCCUUGCACACACCGCCCGU
rnacentral:rRNA from 1 species